GAGAGUCUCUUUGAGUUUUUUUAAUAGAGAGUUGGGCCUGCUCGGUGAUUUACAUUUAACAGCUGCGGUAUUAUAACUGUACUAAGGUAGCAUAAUAAUUUGCCUUAUAAAUUAGGGCUAGAAUGAAUGGUUUGACGAAAAUUAUACUGUCUCUAUUUUAUUCAUUAGAAGUUAAUUUUUAUAGUGAGAAAGCUUGGAUGAUUUAAAGGGACGAAAAGACCCUAUUGAGCUUUAUAUUGUAUUUUAAAUAUAAUUUGUUUUGUAUUUAUUUAAAUAUAAUUUUGGUUGGGGUGAUCAAGGAAUAAAAUAUAUUUAUAUUAACUUCCUUAGAUGUUAUAUAUAGAUAAAUUAAUAAACCAAAUUUAUUGCUUAGAAGAUAAGUUACCAUAGGGAUAACAGCGUAAUUUUUUUUGAAAGUUCAUAUUGAAAAAAGAGAUUGCGACCUCGAUGUUGGAUUAAAAUAACCUUAAGGUGGAGAGGCUUUAAUUGGUAAAUCUGUUCGAUUUUUAAAAUUUU
rnacentral:rRNA from 1 species